rnacentral:rRNA from 1 species
GAUGAACGCUAGCUACAGGCUUAACACAUGCAAGUCGAGGGGAAACGACAUCGAAAGCUUGCUUUUGAUGGGCGUCGACCGGCGCACGGGGGAGUAACGCGUAUCCAACCUGCCCAUCACUUGGGAAUAACCUUGCGAGAGUAAGACUAAUACCCAAUGAUAUCCCACGAAGGCAUCGGAAUGGGAUUAAAGAUUUAUCGGUGAUGGAUGGGGAUGCGUCUGAUUAGCUUGUUGGCGGGGUAACGGCCCACCAAGGCAACGAUCAGUAGGGGUUCUGAGAGGAAGGUCCCCCACAUUGGAACUGAGACACGGUCCAAACUCCUACGGGAGGCAGCAGUGAGGAAUAUUGGUCAAUGGGCGAGAGCCUGAACCAGCCAAGUAGCGUGCAGGAAGACGGCCCUAUGGGUUGUAAACUGCUUUUAUAAGGGAAUAAAGUGGGUCACGUGUGACUUUUUGCAUGUACCUUAUGAAUAAGGACCGGCUAAUUCCGUG